rnacentral:rRNA from 1 species
AUUGAACGCUGGCGGCAUGCUUUACACAUGCAAGUCGAACGGCAGCGCGGGCUUCGGCCUGGCGGCGAGUGGCGAACGGGUGAGUAAUGCAUCGGAACGUGCCCAGUAGUGGGGGAUAGCCCGGCGAAAGCCGGAUUAAUACCGCAUACGACCUGAGGGUGAAAGCGGGGGACCGAAAGGCCUCGCGCUAUUGGAGCGGCCGAUGUCGGAUUUGCUAGUUGGUGGGGUAAAGGCUUACCAAGGCGACGAUCCGUAGCUGGUCUGAGAGGACGACCAGCCACACUGGAACUGAGACACGGCCCAGACUCCUACGGGAGGCAGCAGUGGGGAAUUUUGGACAAUGGGGGCAACCCUGAUCCAGCCAUGCCGCGUGCGGGAAGAAGGCCUUCGGGUUGUAAACCGCUUUUGUUCGGGAAGAAAUCCUCUGGGCUAAUACCCCGGGGGGAUGACGGUACCGGAAGAAUAAGCACCGGCUAACUACGUG